rnacentral:pre_miRNA from 14 species
UUAUUGCGUGAAACUGAAAGACCCCCAGAGUGGGGAGACCCUCACUCAAGUCUCGGGAUGACGCAACCCCCCAAGAACUCACACAAAACC